GGCCGACUGGCCUAAUGGUUAAGGCGUCAGUUUCCGGUAUCUUGUGUGUGAUAGCUGAAGAUUCUGGGUUCGAAUCCCAGGUUGGUCG
rnacentral:tRNA from 1 species